AUUGAACGCUGGCGGCAGGCCUAACACAUGCAAGUCGAGCGGAUGAAGGGAGCUUGCUCCUGGAUUCAGCGGCGGACGGGUGAGUAAUGCCUAGGAAUCUGCCUGGUAGUGGGGGAUAACGUCCGGAAACGGGCGCUAAUACCGCAUACGUCCUGAGGGAGCAAGUGGGGGAUCUUCGGACCUCACGCUAUCAGAUGAGCCUAGGUCGGAUUAGCUAGUUGGUGGGGUAAAGGCCUACCAAGGCGACGAUCCGUAACUGGUCUGAGAGGAUGAUCAGUCACACGGGGACUGGGACACGGUCCAGACUCCUGCGGGAGGCAGCAGUGGGGAAUAUUGGACAGUGGGCGAAAGUCUGAUCCAGCCAUGCCGCGUGUGUGAAGAAGGUCUUCGGAUUGUAAAGCACUUUAAGUUGGGAGGAAGGGCAGUAAGUUAAUACCUUGCUGUUUUGACGUUACCAACAGAAUAAGCACCGGCUAACUUCGUG
rnacentral:rRNA from 1 species